AUGGCGACCGGCGCACGGGUGAGUAACACGUAUCCAACCUGCCGAUGACUCGGGGAUAGCCUUUCGAAAGAAAGAUUAAUACCCGAUGGCAUAGUUCUUCCGCAUGGUAGAACUAUUAAAGAAUUUCGGUCAUCGAUGGGGAUGCGUUCCAUUAGGUUGUUGGCGGGGUAACGGCCCACCAAGCCUUCGAUGGAUAGGGGUUCUGAGAGGAAGGUCCCCCACAUUGAAACUGAGACACGGUCCAA
rnacentral:rRNA from 1 species